AGAGUAAACCUUAUAAGCGUUUCUAUAAUAACAACUACACAUUUGUAUCUAUAGUAACCACCACAAGUGUGUAUCUGUAAUAAACACCACAAACGUGUUUCUAUAGUAACCACUACAAGAGUAUUUCUAUAGUUACAGCUGGGUGUUUGUUUUAAUAGUAUCAACUACACAUUUGUUUUUAAAGUAUCCACCAAAAACGACUUUCUAUAGCAACGAAUACACAUUUGUUUCUAUAGUAAUCACCACAACUGUGUUUAUUGACGACUACACAUCUGUCUCCAUAGAAGUACAAAAUGAGUGAAUGACUACAAUCCUGAGGGAAAAAAACAAACACCUUCUGCCAAUUAGAUCUGAGAAUCAACAGUGGACGGUUGGAGUUAUUUUUUCUUGCUUUGACACACCGCCGGUAAAUCUGCAGUCUCCUCGGCAUGUCCGUGGCAGCAGCUAAAUACGAGCAAACAAAGGCACAAACAAAGCGCCUCUUCUCAAUUUUCCAAAUGACUUGUCCAUUUUAUGAGAAUACAUUU